GGAAAGGUGGCCGAGUGGUUGAAGGCACUGGUCUUGAAAACCAGCAGGCCGCAAGGUCUCGUGGGUUCGAAUCCCACCCUUUCCGCCA
rnacentral:tRNA from 1 species